rnacentral:lncRNA from 1 species
GUCGGAUUCGAUUCUGACCGAUCGAUCGUGCUGUAGAUGAGAUGUGAGCCAUCGAUCAGUGCUUCUGAUCUCCUAUUCAAAGUCGAAAAUAUCUUCAGCUAUUGGAUCUCUUGAUGGAUCACUUUUGGACCGUUGGAUCACGAAAAAUAGUCCUCUUAUAAAUCGACAAUGAACAACAACCAUUGGAUCUAAGUCAGAUUGAAUCUCAGUCGUUGGAUCACACCCA